AUUAGAGUUUGAUCCUGGCUCAGAUUGAACGCUGGCGGCAUGCCUUACACAUGCAAGUCGAACGGCAGCACGGAGCUUGCUCUGGUGGCGAGUGGCGAACGGGUGAGUAAUAUAUCGGAACGUACCCUAGAGUGGGGGAUAACGUAGCGAAAGUUANGCUAAUACCGCAUACGAUCUAAGGAUGAAAGUGGGGGAUCGCAAGACCCCAUGCUCGUGGAGCGGCCGAUAUCUGAUUAGCUAGUUGGUAGGGUAAAAGCCUACCAAGGCAUCGAUCAGUAGCUGGUCUGAGAGGACGACCAGCCACACUGGAACUGAGACACGGUCCAGACUCCUACGGGAGGCAGCAGUGGGGAAUUUUGGACAAUGGGCGAAAGCCUGAUCCAGCAAUGCCGCGUGAGUGAAGAAGGCCUUCGGGUUGUAAAGCUCUUUUGUCAGGGAAGAAACGGUGAGAGCUAAUAUCUCUUGCUAAUGACGGUACCUGAAGAAUAAGCACCGGCUAACUACGUGCCAGCAGCCGCGGUAAUACGUAGGG
rnacentral:rRNA from 1 species